AACGAACGCUGGCGGCAUGCCUAACACAUGCAAGUCGAACGAGACCCUCGGGUCUAGUGGCGCACGGGCGCGUAACACGUGGGAAUCUGCCCUUCGGUUCGGAAUAACAGAGAGAAAUUUCUGCUAAUACCGGAUGAUGACGUAAGUCCAAAGAUUUAUCGCCGAAGGAUGGGCCCGCGUAGGAUUAGGUAGUUGGUGGGGUAAUGGCCCACCAAGCCGACGAUCCUUAGCUGGUCUGAGAGGAUGAUCAGCCACACUGGGACUGAGACACGGCCCAGACUCCUACGGGAGGCAGCAGUGGGGAAUAUUGGACAAUGGGCGAAAGCCUGAUCCAGCAAUGCCGCGUGAGUGAUGAAGGCCUUAGGGUUGUAAAGCUCUUUUACCAGGGAUGAUAAUGACAGUACCUGGAGAAUAAGCUCCGGCUAACUCCGUGCCAGCCGCCGCAGUAA
rnacentral:rRNA from 1 species